rnacentral:rRNA from 1 species
UACGGAGGGUGCAAACGUUGCUCGGAAUCAUUGGGCGUAAAGCGCACGUAGGCGGCCCAGCAAGUCGGGUGUGAAAGCCCUCGGCUCAACCGAGGAAGUGCAUUCGAAACUGCUGGGCUUGAAUACUGGAGAGGAUCGCGGAAUUCCCGGUGUAGAGGUGAAAUUCGUAGAUAUCGGGAGGAACACCAGUGGCGAAGGCGGCGAUCUGGACAGAUAUUGACGCUGAGGUGCGAAAGCGUGGGGAGCAAACAGG